rnacentral:rRNA from 1 species
CGUAGGGUGCGAGCGUUGUCCGGAUUUAUUGGGCGUAAAGAGCUUGUAGGCGGUUUGUUGCGUCGGGAGUGAAAACUCAGGGCUUAACCCUGAGCCUGCUUCCGAUACGGGCAGACUUGAGGAAGGUAGGGGAGAUCGGAAUUCCUGGUGGAGCGGUGGAAUGCGCAGAUAUCAGGAGGAACACCGGUGGCGAAGGCGGAUCUCUGGGCCACUACUGACGCUGAGAAGCGAAAGCAUGGGGAGCGAACAGGAUUAGAUACCCU